ACCUCACUACGGGAGAGUACUGCGGUUAAACGAAUUCGCCCUUAGAGUUUGAUUCUGGCUCAGGAUGAACGNCUAGCGACAGGCCUAACACAUGCAAGUCGAGGGGCAUCGGGACGUAGCAAUACGUUGCCGGCGACCGGCGGAUGGGUGAGUAACGCGUAUGCAACCUACCCGUAGCAGGGGGAUAGCCCGUUGAAAGACGGAUUAAUACCCCAGUAACACAGGGGCUCCGCAUGGAGAUUAUUGUUAAAGGGUCAUUUCUUUUUCAGGGAUGGUCCGGCUGCGGAUGGGCAUGCGUUCCAUUAGGUAGUUGGUGUAGGUAACGGCUCACCAAGCCGACGAUGGAUAGGGGAACUGAGAGGUUGGUCCCCCACACUGGUACUGAGACACGGACCAGACUCCCUACGGGAGGCAGCAGUGAGGAAUUUUGGUCAAUGGACGCAAGUCUGAACCAGCCAUGUCGCGUGAAGGAGGACGGCCCUAAGGGUUGUAAACUUCUUUUGCAGUGGAAUAAAGUUUGCCACGUGUUGGCGAUUUGCAAGUACGCUGCGAAUAAGGAUCGGCUAACUCCGUGCCAGCAGCCGCGGUAAUACGGAGGAUCCAGGCGUUAUCCGGAUUUAUUGGGUUUAAAGGGUGCGCAGGCGGGGAAUUAGGUCGGCGGUGAAAUUUCGGGGCUCAACCUCGACAGUGCCGUUGAAACCGUUUCUCUUGAGUGCGGAUGAGGUAGGCGGAAUUUGUGGUGUAGCGGUGAAAUGCGUAGAUAUCACAAGGAACACCGAUUGCGGAGGCAGCUUACUAAACCGUUACUGACGCUCAUGCACGAAGGCGUGGGGAUCAAACAGGAUUAGAUACACUGGUAGUCCACGCAGUAAACGAUGAUUACUUGCUGUUUGCGAUACACAGUAAGCGGCGAAGCGAAAGCGUUAAGUAAUCCACCNUGGGGAGUACGUUCGCAAGAAUGAAACUCAAAGGGUUGACGGAGGGCGAAUUC
rnacentral:rRNA from 1 species